rnacentral:rRNA from 1 species
UGCGUAGGCGGUUCUGUAAGUCUAGUGUGAAAUCUUCAGGCUCAACUUGAAGACUGCACAAGAAACUGCAGGGCUUGAGUGUGGGAGAGGUGAGUGGAAUUCCUGGUGUAGCGGUGAAAUGCGUAGAUAUCAGGAGGAACACCUGUGGCGAAAGCGGCUCACUGGACCACAACUGACGCUGAUGCACGAAAGCUAGGGGAGCAAACAGGAUUAGAUACCCUGGUAGUCCUAGCCCUAAACGAUGACUGCUUGGUGUGACGGGUACCCAAUCCCGUCGUGCCGUAGCUAACGCGUUAAGCAGUCCGCCUGGGGAGUACGGUCGCAAGGCUGAA